rnacentral:misc_RNA from 1 species
GGAGAACCAGGAGAUUUUUGGGGUACUUUCUCUAGUUUUCUGGACUUUGACCAUCAUUCCUCUUUGCAAGUACAUUAUAUUUGUGUUAGGGGCAGAUGACAAUGGCGAAGGUGGACCAUUUGCAUUGUAUUCAUUGCUCUGCCGACGCUCCAAUAUGGGUUUCUUAGAGGGCUCUCACAUGGGGCAUGAGGGUUUUUCUUCUCAUGAUUCUUCUGCGCCUACCAAGGAGACAAGAACUAGCUUGCUUAUAAAGGAAUUCUUCGAGAAGCAUCAUUCUUCUCGUCUAGUGUUGCUGCUAGUUGUUCUGCUUGGGACUAGCAUGGUUAUCGGUGAUGGAAUUCUGACCCCAACAAUGUCUGUUUUAUCUGCAGUGUACGGAAUUGAAACAAAGGUGCCAAAUUUACAUGAGAAUUAUACUGUGGCAAUUGCCUGUGUGGUCUUGGUGGGGCUUUUUGCACUCCAGCACUGUGGAACACAUAGAGUUGGGUUUCUGUUUGCUCCAAUUUUGUUAGCUUGGCUACUGUGCCUUGGUGGAGUUGGCAUUUAUAACAUAUUCCAUUGGAACCCUGGCGUGAUCAAUGCUCUAUCUCCAAGCUAUAUUUAUAAAUUUUUCCAGAAAGCCGGAAAAAGUGGAUGGAGUUCACUAGGAGGCAUUGUUCUCUGUGUUACAGGAGC